AAAAAUAAAACAUCCUUAUGAGAGUUUCAAGACUUCUAACAUGGUCACAAAACCCGCAUUUCCAAGUGGCAAUGCCUUCUCUAGCGGACUGUGCUCUUCCUAUUGUUAUCAGCGUUGGGCUUGCUGCACUAUACAGGCCAUCAGAGACGCUGAAUCCAAAGUCUUCACUCUCUGGGUCCUUGUGGAGCGUCAUCUGCAUGGAACGGCAUUGAACAAGAAAUUCUAAUGCAGUAUGAGCCACAGAUACAGGAGAGAAGCAUGGCAGUACAGCCGUGUGAUUCUGCUCUGGGUCUCCUGGUGGGGUUUUACUUGGACUGGGUAGUAAACAUUGGUGGUCUAUUAGUAUUGGGAGGAGUUUAAUUUAAACUUGUGCACACACGGCCAGCUAUUUAUACACGUCGUAUGUUCAGACGCUUUGGUAAUGGGCACAUAAAUCACAAACAAAUCUUCUGCCCUAGCUUGG